rnacentral:rRNA from 1 species
UGGGGAAUAUUGCACAAUGGGGGAAACCCUGAUGCAACGACGCCGCGUGAACGAAGAAGGUAUUCGUAUCGUAAAGUUCUGUCCUAUGGGAAGAUAAUGACAGUACCAUAGAAGAAAGCUCCGGCUAAAUACGUGCCAGCAGCCGCGGUAAUACGUAUGGAGCGAGCGUUGUCCGGAAUUAUUGGGCGUAAAGGGUACGCAGGCGGUUUAAUAAGUCGAAUGUUAAAGAUCGGGGCUCAACCCCGUAAAGCAUUGGAAACUGAUAAACUUGAGUAGUGGAGAGGAAAGUGGAAUUCCUAGUGUAGUGGUGAAAUACGUAGAUAUUAGGAGGAAUACCAGUAGCGAAGGCGACUUUCUGGACACAAACUGACGCUGAGGUACGAAAGCGUGGGGAGCAAACAGG